UUUAAUUCCCAUCGACAGCAUUACAUCCAAGGAAUUCAAGCAUAAGCAUGAGGAUCAUACCUCUGAUACUUCUUAUGAUGAACAUUCAAAAAAGAGGAGAAUUGAGUAAAUCUUUUACAGAUAGCAAUAGCAUGUGUGAGGAGAGCUGAAUAAUCCUUUUACUGAGAGCAUUUACUUUUUUACCAUUUGUGUCAUGUGUUGCUUUGCUUUUUAUUUGGUCUGAUGGACCACCAGUUCUCUCACCUCAUAAACCGUGGAGCAUUGAUGAUAUUGUUACACGUGCUCCACCACCACCAACUGUAGAUGCAGCUCCUGAAAAAUUUGCUAUAUCUCCAACCGUUAUGAUUAUUGGAGUAGCGUCUUUGCUGUUAUUUGCUUUUCUUGUUUAUUACAAUAUGGAAUCUACUCCAACCAAUCCAUUUCAGACUAAUAAGUAAUUUGAUUUUUUAAGUGCCUAAAUUUAAUUAUUUUAAUAUAUAUUUACAUUUGUGUAAAUGACAUUUGUGGUGAAUUUAACAUAUUUUUGUGUUUGUAUGUUAAAUUACUUAUAGAUAAAUGUUUAGAUUUAUUGAUUGUGAAUGUAUAACAUUUACAUGUUUUAGUUCAAAUCUAAUGUGAUCAUUUCUAAUAAAGAUUGUUUGACAAACCA